GCUGCCGUAGCUCAGUGGUAGAGCACUCCCUUGGUAAGGGAGAGGUCAAGAGUUCAAUCCUCUUCGGCAGCACCA
rnacentral:tRNA from 2 species